rnacentral:rRNA from 1 species
UGGGGAAUUUUGGACAAUGGGCGAAAGCCUGAUCCAGCCAUGCCGCGUGAGUGAAGAAGGCCUUCGGGUUGUAAAGCUCUUUUAGUCGGAAAGAAAGAGUUGCAAUGAAUAAUUGUGAUUUAUGACGGUACCGACAGAAAAAGCACCGGCUAACUACGUGCCAGCAGCCGCGGUAAUACGUAGGGUGCGAGCGUUAAUCGGAAUUACUGGGCGUAAAGGGUGCGCAGGCGGUUUUGUAAGUCAGAUGUGAAAUCCCCGGGCUUAACCUGGGAAUUGCUUUUGAAACUGCAAGACUAGAGUGCAGCAGAGGGGAGUGGAAUUCCAUGUGUAGCAGUGAAAUGCGUAGAGAUGUGGAAGAACACCGAUGGCGAAGGCAGCUCCCUGGGUUGACACUGACGCUCAUGCACGAAAGCGUGGGGAGCAAACA